rnacentral:misc_RNA from 1 species
AAGAAAAAUUCUUAGUUUUAUUAAUGAUAAGCACCCAAUUACAUUACAAUAAUCAUGCUCCUAAAUGAACAAAACCCAGAUAUACACUAUAAGAAAUUGAAUAAGGAAAAAAAAAGAAAGAAAAAGGCAAACCCAGCAACCAUAUAUAUGAAGCCAUUAAUCUCCAAUAUACAAGCCCUCAAGAAGAGAAUGGAAUAUCACAUCCCAACCCAAAAUUUUUUAUUUUUUAGUGUAAGAAAUUAAAGGGCAAAAAGAGAUACUAUCAUAGAACAACAUGUCAAAGCCACAGAAACCGGCAACGCCAACGCAGCUCCGGUAUCCAUUCCCGGUACCGGAGAAAUAUCCUGUGCCAUUACUCCACGAGUAUGCACUAAUAAUGCCGCCACAACCAGCAUCACCAUGUGAGCAAAUGAAGCUCCAAACUGUGCCAUGCUCUUACCUAAAUUUUUGGUGAUAUAAUUUUUAGAGAGAGGGAGAGAAGAAAAUGGCUAAUGACUAAUGGUCAAUAGUAUAUGUGUGAG